rnacentral:precursor_RNA from 1 species
GAGGACCGUAUUCAUGGAAGAGGAUUGAACAGAAGACUACUGAGUUCUUAAGAGAAAAAUGGCACUUAAGAAAUUGAUGGUGAUAUCAAAGGAAGGUUACUUAUUACUCUUGGACUUUGAUGAUGAGGACGAUGACAUAAAAGCUUCAGAGGAGGCUCUUGCGGAAGUAAAGAGCCCAGGAUUUGAUAAAAAUGAGAAUAUAUCGCCUCAAGCAGAAGCAGAUGAAUAUAUGGGAGAUGAAGUAGACAGUAUGUUGGAUAAAUCUGGAGUAAAGAACCCAGCAAUUGGUAAAGAUGAGAAUAUAUCGCCUCAAGUAAAAGGAGAUGAAGACAUGGGAGAUGAAAUUGACAGUAUGUUGGCUACAUCUGGAGGUCUUUUCUCCUGAGAACACGGGACUCCAGCAUCUUCGGAUUCUGCUCUUGGAGGGGUUUGCCCCACAUCCUCUAUAUUGCAGAAAACAAGACUAGGCUCUACCUCUGUAGAUCAAGCACGACUGAAAUCCGUGCUCUCAAAAGAUGCUGGGGAGAAAGAGUGCCAUUCUUCACAAAUGCUGACUUGGAUAUUAAACAAAGUCAAAGAAGUAUCCUAGCCAUCAACAGUCAACCCAAACUGUUGGAAGAAGGAAUAUGUUUCUGCCUUGUCUCUCCCAAAUGAACACAAACUAUGAAAAUAUAAAACUCUGAAUCAGGAUUGGAAACUUAUGAUCAUCACUGGAAACAUUCUCCACUAUAUUAAGUACCAGGAUCUUUUACCUUGGACAGAAGUGUAUAUGGCAACUUCACAGUCUGCCUCAAGGAGAUUCUGUCCUCUUCUUGCAGUAGGGCCUAUGUGUGCAGCUGAACAGAGCGUUGAGGAAACGUCAGUGAUUUUAUAACUACUUAUCAUGUUGGGAGAUUGUUGUGAUGAUUGCCUGGACUCUCAGAUGUUACACAGGCUGCAUCAUUGGACUGAAAGUGGAUGGCCCAUGUGUUGCCACCGAUGUGAGCCAUUUGCCUGUUGUGCUUCA